CUGAACCAUUGCAAUACUACCAAACUAAGAUUAUGUCCAAAUUCCUAUUACUCAUGUUACUUGCCCUUGCAAAUGAUGAAGAGUUCCCCCAACACAUUCCAUUCCUAGCCUUCCAGCUAAAAGAGGCCUCUCUUUUGUGCACUCUAAUAUCCGCAGCUUACUAGCAAAAAUCGAUUCACUGCAAGCAUGGUGUUCACAUUACAAACCCAAAAUCAUUGUGAUUCCUGAGUCGUUGCUAACUGCAAAAAUUCCUGACUCUGCCAUUGCAAU